GGCCUUUUGGUUAUAAUUUAAGGUCUAGCCUGCCCACUGAAUAUUAAAGGGCCGCGGUACUUUGACCGUGCUAAGGUAGCAUAAUCAUUAGUUUUUUAAUUGAAAGCUGGAAUGAAUGGUUGGAUGAGAAAAAAACUGUCUCUAUUUAAUUUUUAUUGAAUUUUAUAUUUAAGUAAGAAAGCUUAAAUUUUUUUAAAAGACGAGAAGACCCUAUAGAGUUUUAUAAAAAAUUGAUAAGUUGAAUUAUAGAAUUUUAUUUUUAAUUUUUUUAUUUUUUAUUUGAUUGGGGCGAUUGAAAAAUUAAAAUAACUUUUUUUAUAUUAGUCCAUUAAUAUAUGAAUAUAUGAUCCAUAAUUUUGUGAUUAUAAGAUUAAAUUACCUUAGGGAUAACAGCGUAAUUUUUUUUGAGAGUUCAAAUUGAAAAAAAAGUUUGCGACCUCGAUGUUGGAUUAAAAUUAAUUUUUGGUGUAGAGGCUAAAAAAUUGGGUCUGUUCGACCUUUAAAAUUUUACAUGA
rnacentral:rRNA from 1 species